CCUACGGGCGGCAGCAGUAGGGAAUAUUGCUCAAUGGGGGAAACCCUGAAGCAGCAACGCCGCGUGGAGGAUGAAGGUUUUCGGAUUGUAAACUCCUUUUGUUAGAGAAGAUAAUGACGGUAUCUAACGAAUAAGCACCGGCUAACUCCGUGCCAGCAGCCGCGGUAAUACGGAGGGUGCAAGCGUUACUCGGAAUGACUGGGCGUAAAGCGCGCGUAGGCGGGAUAGCAAGUCAGAGGUGAAAUCCUAUGGCUUAACCAUAGAACUGCAUUUGAAACUGUUAUUCUAGAGUAUGGGAGAGGUAGGUGGAAUGUAUGGUGUAGGGGUAAAAUCCGUAGAGAUCAAGAAGAAUACUCAUUGCGAAGGCGACCUGCUAGAACAUAACUGACGCUGAUGCGCGAAAGCGUGGGGAGCAAACAGGAUUAGAUACCCCAGUAGUC
rnacentral:rRNA from 1 species